UAGGGAAUCUUCCAGAAUGGGGGAAAGCCUGAUGGAGCAACGCCGCGUGUGUGAUGAAGGGUUUCGGCUCGUAAAACACUGUUGUAAGAGAAUAAUGACAUUGAGAGUUACUGUUCAAUGUGUGACGGUAUCUUACCGGAAAGGAACGGCUAAGUACGUGCCAG
rnacentral:rRNA from 1 species